GCUACAGCGAGCCGGUGAUAAUAGGCGGCGACUAAAGCCGCCACAAAUCAUUCUUCAAAAAAGUGUUUAGUUGACAGAGUUCGUCUAUGGCUUUUGGCCGCCAUAUUGCAUCUAUUUGUUUGAUUGAGGUUGGAUUAUGAAAGACGGCUGGCUAAUAGCUUUCUAUUAAAAGCCAGCAUUUCACUUUUAACUGUGUUCAAAGUUAUUUCAUACUGGUAGAAGAGAGGGCGGUGCGUUGUCCCAGGUUUCGGCCGGAAUAGCGUAUCGUCCGUACUUUUAACACCAUAUUUUGCAACGCGUCUUACCUUGCUGGCAUUAGAUAUUAACAAACAACGAUGACUCCGCUUCGCAAGUUGUGGUCACUUGUGGUUCUAUAUGACGCAGUGCUUAUUUGGAACGUUCUAGAUUGCUCGGAAUGUAUGACAACAUCGGUCGUGAGGUGGUAAUCAGAGGGAUUUGGCUCGCGCCAAGAAUCAAAAGAAGCAACAAGAGCAGCAGAAGAAGAAGAAUGCUAAUGACAAAACUGGACUUUCCCUAUCUGAGAGAAAACAUAGGGAUGCAGAACUAAUGAGAGAGAAAC